GAGAAGCCCCCGUGGUGGUUGGUUAGCAACAGAGCUGGGGUUCUAACCUAGUUCCCAAAGCUUGGAUAAUAAGCCCUUGUUGUGGGUGGCUAUGUCAUGCUUGCUUUUCCUUUGGUCCUUGGCAUCCCAACUGUCUUGCUAUGUUUGAGAAAUUUCUUGCUCCAGGAAAUAUAUGUGUAUUUAAAUGCCAGAUUCACUCCCAGAGAGGCCAGAGGCUCCCAAUGUUAAAACACCUGAGGACUAAGAUAACACUCGGGGCUCCCAUCUAACCCUCACAGGGGAGUGCUCAGGGGGCCAAGAGUGGUUCUAUUUAAAAUGUGAAUAGGGGCCAGCACGGUAACCCUAACACUUUGGGAGGCAAGGUGGAGGUG